GGACUACUCGGGUUUCUAAUCCUGUUCGCUCCCCACGCUUUCGUACCUCAGUGUCAGGAGUAGCCCAGCAAGCUGCCUUCGCCAUUGGUGUUCUUCGUAAUAUCUACGCAUUUCACUGCUACACUACGAGUUCCACUUGCCUCUGCUGUCCUCUAGUCUGCCAGUAUGUGAUGCAUCGACAGGGUUGAGCCCCACGAUUUAACAUCACACUUAACAAACCACCUACGCACGCUUUACGCCCAGUGAUUCCGGAUAACGCUUGGACCCUACGUAUUACCGCGGCGGCUGGCAC
rnacentral:rRNA from 1 species